rnacentral:tRNA from 1 species
AGAGUGGUUUUAGACCGAAGCUGCUAACUUUGUUCUGGGGCCUACUGCUCCCCCGCUC